ACAGGAGGGGGGAGGGGAGUGAAUGAUUAGUGGCAACUGAUGAGAGGAGAGUGCUGGUGCAAGCAGCGAGAGACUCUGAAGCCCUGCGGGGUAAGGACAAACGGAGCAGUGUGAUGGUGAUCUUCGGUAGGGGAGGGGCAGUGGAGAAGUGUAAAGAAGGGCUAGAGGGAGGUUUAAGCAACAAGCGGACACCAAAAACAAAGGAAAGAAAAACAGCAAAUGGUUUGGGAAGUUACACAGGGGGAGAACAGCAGCAAGGAGUUCGGGAAGUUCGGAGGGUUGAUG